CACCGCGGUUAUACGAAAGACCCUAGUUGAUAGCCACGGCGUAAAGGGUGGUUAAGAAGAUCUAAAAAUAAAGCUAAAGACCCUCUAGGCCGUCAUACGCACUCCGAGGGCUCGAGCCCCAGACACGAAAGUGGCUUUAAAUUUAAAUUACCUGACCCCACGAAAGCUAAGAAA
rnacentral:rRNA from 1 species